AGAGAUGAGCAAAUUUGUAAAUUUAUUUAUUAAAAAUGUUGUCUUUUAAAAAGCAAAUAAUCUAAUUUUUUCUUAUUGCCCGGAUUGAUGGCUUAGGUUUCAUGUUUGAGAAAAAGCUGAGCCCUUUUCAUAAAAGAAGCACAUUCUAAUUAAAAAGGAAGGACAAUGGUAGAGCAUUUUCAAGCUACAGUGGAGAUGUUGCCUGCUCAGAGUUAAACCUCCAAAUUAUACUACUAAAUGGCAUUAGUAGUAUAAUUCUAAGACACAGUAUAUUGAAAUCACCAGUUGCCAAUAGUUCUGAGCUUCUCAACAUCAUAUUUAGUUCUUGCCUUCAAAAUAUCCCCUAAUCAACAGCACUGACAGUGUCCUUCAGUGCUGUUCUGAUAAAACAGUGAGUUCAAAUACCUAAAAACUCCCCACAUGCCAAUGAAACAGGUGAAUUUUUACAAUCUCUUCACAAAACAAACACAGCUUAUAUAAACAUCAAGACAGUGAAUUCAAUAUAUAUUGUCUCACCAAAAACUAUUCUUGUAAGAUUCUAACCUAAAAAAAGAAUAGUAUAUGUAUGAGCCCCAUUGUAUGUGAAGCUUUUAUUACAUAAUUUUUCAAAUACUGAAAAACACCAUAAAGUUGAAGUAUUAUAAAAUAUAACAUAGAUAUUAAAUAUUUACAAAGACUUUAAAAUCUAAUACAGAAAUAUUGAUGUUCUAAUAUUGAAUUUAAAGUUAUACAAAAAGGUCUAAGAACUUCAAAAUUAUUAGGUUUACAGGAUAAACAAAGGAUAGUCUUACUACUGUAAGCCAAAUCUACCCUAGUUUUUAUUUUUUAUACUGCAUUCCAGAUAAGGAUUGCUUUAUAUAUAGUAACUAAAAAACAACUUUAAAAAGUAUUUCAUGGUAUACAAGGAUUUUGUGGAACUCUAAUUUAAGUAUUUAUAAACUUUUUUUGUACUAGUUAUUUGUUUAUGUAUUGUGGUUAAUCACUUUUGUUUUGAAAAGUUAGUUUAGGCUAUAUGACCCACAAAACCCAAUAUACUUAGUAUGGAAAAAUAUGGUCACUAAAAACUUUGGAGUGAAGUUCAACAGAUAAAGGACUUCAGUACACUUGGAGAUCUUGUUAGAGUUUCAGAUGGUCUGAUCUUUCAGAUCUAUUGAAUAACUCAGUGGCUGUUGAAUUGUGGUCUUUGGACAAGUUUUGAUUCAGAAACUCAGAGUGGAAUGUGGGAGUUUGUGGUUUCAUAGGCUGUCUCAUUAGUCUUGAUAUAUGUGAAGAUUGAGCCCAAUUGGCCUAGUCCCUGGGAUGUGAACAGGUCAUAUUAUCCAACAUAGAAGAGAGGUGCUCGUGGGCUUCUGCACAGGGAUGAGCUGCAAAACUCAGUAUUUUGCUUACUGGUUUGCAUUCUUUACAAUAUCUUGGAGACUAGGAAGGCAUGCUCUCCCCCAUUUUAAAGAGAAAGGAACUGGAAUUCAUUCAGGAAAUAUAGCAAUUUGCAUGGAAUUAUUGAAUUGGCUUUAAAAAUCAACUCUUCAGGCUUCCCUGCCCUCACUUUCUUCUUAUCUUCUUUGAUAUGGACAAGCAGUCCUGGAAUCAAGCAGGAGCUAGCCUGGCAUAGUUUGUGUUGGGUUUCUCAUGAGGAAUGUAGACACUACACAGGAUAUGAAUAUCAGAGUCUAGUGAUAUAUCUCCAUGGCUAUAAGAAGAUCACUCUGACUAAAUCACCAACCAAAGAGUAUAGGACCCAUGGCUGCAGCUACAUAUGUAGCAGAGGAUGACCUUAUCUGGCAUCAGUGGGAGGGGAGGGAGUUAAUUAGAGAAUCCGAGCAAUGUCUGGCUUGGAACAAAGACUUGCCAGGGGGGAAAGUGAGCAGCGGCUCCUCACUGAAGAACAGAGCCAAGCGGGUGGCCCCCCGGGGUGAGGACAGACCUGGGCUAAAGUCCAGCCUCUCAUGCUGAUGCUUGCAUUUGCUUGGAGGGGCUCAGUUCAGCCAAAGCGCAUCCAGGCUCCAGACCCUGCACUGCAGCCGGCAGGUGGGUGUUCUGAGUUCAGAGCUGAGGGAGAAACAUCUGUUGGAGAACAGAGACUUUGCAGGGUCCACGAAGAAGGGACACUCCCAAGGAACUUGCCCCGGAGAGAUAGCACUCCACACGCUGAUGGUGCCAGGCUGGGCAGGGCUGUGUGAGCUAGUUUGCUGCCUGGGAAGCUCAAGUG
rnacentral:lncRNA from 1 species